rnacentral:rRNA from 1 species
AAGGUCCUCCCGUAGGGUGAACCUUGCGGAGGGAU